rnacentral:rRNA from 1 species
UGGGGAAUAUUGCACAAUGGGCGCAAGCCUGAUGCAGCCAUGCCGCGUGUAUGAAGAAGGCCUUCGGGUUGUAAAGUACUUUCAGCGGGGAGGAAGGGAGUAAAGUUAAUACCUUUGCUCAUUGACGUUACCCGCAGAAGAAGCACCGGCUAACUCCGUUCCCGCAGCCGCGGUAAUACGGAGGGUGCAAGCGUUAAUCGGAAUUACUGGGCGUAAAGCGCACGCAGGCGGUUUGUUAAGUCAGAUGUGAAAGCCCCGGGCUCAACCUGGGAACUGCAUCUGAUACUGGCAAGCUUGAGUCUCGUAGAGGGGGGUAGAAUUCCAGGUGUAGCGGUGAAAUGCGUAGAGAUCUGGGGGAAUACCGGUGGCGAAGGCGGCCCCCUGGACGAAGACUGACGCUCAGGUGCGAAAGCGUGGGGAGCAAACAGG